rnacentral:rRNA from 1 species
AAUGGGUCAGCGACUUAUAUUCUGUAGCAAGGUUAACCGAAUAGGGGAGCCGAAGGGAAACCGAGUCUUAACUGGGCGUUAAGUUGCAGGGUAUAGACCCGAAACCCGGUGAUCUAGCCAUGGGCAGGUUGAAGGUUGGGUAACACUAACUGGAGGACCGAACCGACUAAUGUUGAAAAAUUAGCGGAUGACUUGUGGCUGGGGGUGAAAGGCCAAUCAAACCGGGAGAUAGCUGGUUCUCCCCGAAAGCUAUUUAGGUAGCGC